UCAACUUGACACGAUCUUUCACUUUAACACCUCACCUCAACUAGAAUUCAAGUGUCAUUUUAGCACUUUUUGCUGAGUCAUCAGUGGAUGUGUGCUACACUCAUUUUGAGCGCGCUUGAGGAGUAUUUUCAUAAUUUUUUCAUCUUUAAAAUUUUUCAAAAUUAUUGAAAAUCUCCAUUGGCAAAUCAGCAACAAUUUUCAUCUUGAGCAGAACUCUUAGCCCUAUUUUUUG
rnacentral:lncRNA from 1 species